rnacentral:rRNA from 1 species
GAUGAACGCUGGCGGCGUGCUUAACACAUGCAAGUCGAACGGAAAGGCCCAAGCUUGCUUGGGUACUCGAGUGGCGAACGGGUGAGUAACACGUGGGUGAUCUGCCCUGCACUUCGGGAUAAGCCUGGGAAACUGGGUCUAAUACCGGAUAGGACCACAUUUUGGAUGGUGUGGUGGAAAGUUUUUCGGUGUGGGAUGAGCUCGCGGCCUAUCAGCUUGUUGGUGGGGUAAUGGCCUACCAAGGCGUCGACGGGUAGCCGGCCUGAGAGGGUGUACGGCCACAUUGGGACUGAGAUACGGCCCAGACUCCUACGGGAGGCAGAAGUGGGGAAUAUUGCACAAUGGGCGCAAGCCUGAUGCAGCGACGCCGCGUGGGGGAUGACGGCCUUCGGGUUGUAAACUCCUUUCGCUAGGGACGAAGCGUUAUGUGACGGUACCUGGAGAAGAAGCACCGGCUAACUACGUG